UCAUUACUCUCCACAUUUCAACCUUACAUUCAGUAUUAUUGCUUCAUUUUCAUGCUCUUCACCAAUUUGAUUUAUAGUUGAUUUUACCACAGAUACAUACAAAUUUUUCAGAAUGGUUGAUUAGAGAUUUUACACACUUGAUCUACCUUUUAAAGUGACAAUGACAAAAUUUUUUAUUUGCGUAUGAUGAUGUACAUGUAGAAGAGAAAUCUUUAUUUUUUCUUGCUGUAUUGAUUUGACAUUUCGAUGAUUCUUUCUACAUGUAUUAACUAUUACAAUUUAAAGGAGGGCUAGUUUCAAGGGUUGUCAAUUUUCCACAGGUUCAUAAGGACAGAAUUAGGCAGAUUUUCUUGAGAAUGCACCAUUAGUAAGAUUUGACUAUUUCACGAUUUGUUGUUAGGGUGUAUGUGAAGAAUGAGGGUAUCCACAAGUCUUUGACAAAGAAACUGUAGUUUUCCAAAUCAAGAGUAGCUUAGAAUUCUUUUUUCGAUCUGCUGCUUUUAUGCCAGUCAGUGUGUCUUAGUUCAGGAAAUAGAAUGAUAUCUACACUUUUAGAUUGUAGCUGUUAGUUGAAUUAAGCCUGCUUCCAUGUGUUGAGCUUGGAAUAUAACUCAAAAUAACAAACUCCCAGAAGCAGCUUGUGAUACAUACACACCUUUACUUUUUUCAUCUGAGUGUUGUCUGUGAUAACAAAAACUGUUAUAAAGUGCAAUCUUUUUAUAAGGUUUCUUUUGUUUAUUUUCAACUUGAAAUCAUUGUUUUCAGCAAAUGUUGAAAUCUGUUAAUGUUAACAGGUCAUUUAGAAGUGCUUUUGAGUUAAGACAGUGGUUCUCUGAGAACUGGAUAUUGAAAAAAAUUCUGUAUUUUGUCUUUUCAAAUAAAAUGAUAAUAAUG
rnacentral:misc_RNA from 1 species